rnacentral:rRNA from 1 species
ACGCUCUACAACCCUUUGUGAACAUACCUAUAACUGUUGCUUCGGCGGGUAGGGUCUCCGCGACCCUCCCGGCCUCCCGCCUCCGGGCGGGUCGGCGCCCGCCGGAGGAUAACCAAACUCUGAUUUAACGACGUUUCUUCUGAGUGGUACAAGCAAAUAAUCAAAACUUUUAACAACGGAUCUCUUGGUUCUGGCAUCGAUGAAGAACGCAGCGAAAUGCGAUAAGUAAUGUGAAUUGCAGAAUUCAGUGAAUCAUCGAAUCUUUGAACGCACAUUGCGCCCGCCAGCAUUCUGGCGGGCAUGCCUGUUCGAGCGUCAUUUCAACCCUCAAGCUCUGCUUGGUGUUGGGGCCCUACAGCUGAUGUAGGCCCUCAAAGGUAGUGGCGGACCCUCCCGGAGCCUCCUUUGCGUAGUAACUUUACGUCUCGCACUGGGAUCCGGAGGGACUCUUGCCGUAAAACCCCCAAUUUUCCAAAGGUUGACCUCGGAUCAGGUAGGAAUACCCGCUGAACUUAAGCAUAUCAA